rnacentral:rRNA from 1 species
GAGUUUGAUCCUGGCUCAGAACGAACGCUGGCGGCAGGCUUAACACAUGCAAGUCGAGCGCCCAGCAAUGGGAGCGGCGGACGGGUGAGUAACACGUGGGAAUAUGCCUUUCGGUACGGAACAACUCAGGGAAACUUGAGCUAAUGCCGUAUACGCCCUUACGGGGAAAGAUUUAUCGCCGAAAGAUUAGCCCGCGUCUGAUUAGCUUGUUGGUGAGGUAAUGGCUCACCAAGGCGACGAUCAGUAGCGGGUUUGAGAGAACGACCAGCCACACUGGGACUGAGACACGGCCCAGACUCCUACGGGAGGCAGCAGUAGGGAAUCUUGCGCAAUGGGCGAAAGCCUGACGCAGCGACGCCGCGUGCGGGAUGAAGGCCUUCGGGUCGUAAACCGCUUUCAGCAGGGACGAAAUUGACGGUACCUGCAGAAGAAGGCCCGGCCAACUACGUGCCAGCAGCCGCGGUGAUACGUAGGGGUCUAGCGUUGUCCGGAAUCAUUGGGCGUAAAGAGCUCGUAGGCGGUUCGAUUAGUCGGGUGUGAAAUCUCCACGCUCAACGUGGAGGGGCCACUCGAUACUGUCGUGACUCGAGUCCGGUAGGGGAGUUCGGAAUUCCCGGUGUAGCGGUGAAAUGCGCAGAUAUCGGGAGGAACACCAGUGGCGAAGGCGGAACUCUGGGCCGGAACUGACGCUGAGGAGCGAAAGCGUGGGGAGCGAACAGGAUUAGAUACCCUGGUAGUCCACGCCGUAAACGUUGGGCACUAGGUGUGGGACUCUAUCGACGGGUUCCGUGCCGUAGCUAACGCAUUAAGUGCCCCGCCUGGGGAGUACGGCCGCAAGGCUAAAACUCAAAGGAAUUGACGGGGGCCCGCACAAGCGGCGGAGCAUGCGGAUUAAUUCGAUGCAACGCGAAGAGCCUUACCUGGGUUUGACAUGGCCGCAAAACUGUCAGAGAUGGCAGGUCCUUCGGGGGCGGUCACAGGUGGUGCAUGGCUGUCGUCAGCUCGUGUCGUGAGAUGUUGGGUUAAGUCCCGCAACGAGCGCAACCCUCGUUCCAUGUUGCCAGCGGGUUAUGCCGGGGACUCAUGGAAGACUGCCGGGGUCAACUCGGAGGAAGGUGGGGAUGACGUCAAGUCAUCAUGCCCCUUAUGUCCAGGGCUUCACGCAUGCUACAAUGGCCGGUACAAACCGUUGCGAGCCCGUGAGGGGGAGCGAAUCGGAAAAAGCCGGUCUCAGUUCGGAUCGGGGUCUGCAACUCGACCCCGUGAAGUCGGAGUCGCUAGUAAUCGCAGGUCAGCAACGCUGCGGUGAAUACGUUCCCGGGCCUUGCACACAC